rnacentral:rRNA from 1 species
ACGCUGGCGGCGUGCUUAACACAUGCAAGUCGAACGGUAAGGCCCUUCGGGGUACACGAGUGGCGAACGGGUGAGUAACACGUGGGUGAUCUGCCCUGCACUUCGGGAUAAGCCUGGGAAACUGGGUCUAAUACCGGAUAGGACCAUGGACUUCACGGUUUGUGGUGGAAAGCUUUUGCGGUGUGGGAUGGGCCCGCGGCCUAUCAGCUUGUUGGUGGGGUAAUGGCCUACCAAGGCGACGACGGGUGGCCGGCCUGAGAGGGUGUCCGGCCACACUGGGACUGAGAUACGGCCCAGACUCCUACGGGAGGCAGCAGUGGGGAAUAUUGCACAAUGGGCGCAAGCCUGAUGCAGCGACGCCGCGUGAGGGAUGACGGCCUUCGGGUUGUAAACCUCUUUCAAUAGGGACGAAGCGCAAGUGACGGUACCUAUAGAAGAAGCACCGGCCAACUACGUG